GAUGAACGCUGGCGGCGUGCCUAAUACAUGCAAGUCGAGCGAACGGACGAGAAGCUUGCUUUUCUGAUGUUAGCGGCGGACGGGUGAGUAACACGUGGAUAACCUACCUAUAAGACUGGGAUAACUUCGGGAAACCGGAGCUAAUACCGGAUAAUAUUUUGCACCGCAUUGUUCACAAGUUAAAGACGGUCUUGCUGUCACUUAUAGAUGGAUCCGCGCUGCAUUCGCUAGUUGGUAGAGAAACGGCUAACCAAAGCAACGAUGCAUACCGGGCCAGAGAGGCUGAUCAGCAACACUGGGACUGAGACCCGGGACAGAAGACUAGGGGAGGGCGCAGAGUGGAAAAUUGGAAAAUGGGCGAAAGCAUGAUGCAGCAAUGCAGAGUGAGUGAUGAAGGCCUUAGGGAUGUAAAGCUCGUUUACCCGGGAUGAUAAUGACAGUACAGGGAGAAUAAGCGAGGGCUAGCUCCGUG
rnacentral:rRNA from 1 species